UUUGCAAGGGGGAAGAGGGGAACCUGGCUGCAUUUCCUCCCACCUGGGCCUGCUCAUCUGGCCUGUGGCUUGUUCAUGUCCUUCCAUAAGCCCCCCAGGGGUCCAUACUCCACGGACCCCUCCUCUCUUUCUAUGAUCUUGACAGGAAGCCAGCAGAAUACACAUUUGGCAAUAGAUUUGGUCCUCCAGACUCUAAAUGAUAAUAACAACCACAAUCACAGCUAAUAUUCUUAAACCUUAAAGUUUACAAAGUACUUUACACAUGUUAACUCACUUGACACCAUGUGAAGCAGGUGCCAUUAUUAUCUCCAUUUUACAGAUGAGGAAACUGAGGCUAAGAGAGGUCUGAUUUAUUCAGUGUGAUGCAGCUAGAGAGUGUCUAUCUCAAUAGGAUUUGAAUUCAGAUCCCCUUGCCCUACAAGUCUAGCACUGUGGUCCCUUAACCAGGGAGGGGUCUGUGAAUUCAUUUUUUGGAAACAUUUCAAGGCACCUGAGAGAAGGCAGAAUGGGGCCAGUGUUUUCUGAAUGAAUGAAAAAAGCAUUUAUUGAGUGCUUACUGUGUAUCAGACACUGAGAUAAGAGGAGGAGCUAGGAAUAAAAAAAGGAAAAAUAGUUUCUGCUCUCAAGGAACUUAUCAUCUAAUACAGAAACACAACACAUGGGAAAUGGUGUCUAGGGCUUUUGUCCAGUCGGUCACUGGGAUAGUCAGAGUACUUUUGAUUGAUCUAUCAUUCCCAGGAAUGGCUCUAUCUGAUUAUUGUUCCCAGGACAAAAUGUUGGAAAAGGGACAGGACUAUAGAUAAGAGUGAUCAGAAGUAUCAGGAAGUUUGCUAGAGUGUGAUUAUAGAUAAUCUAAGAGAAUAGGAUUCCCUGGCUCACUACUAAGAAGUAAAUGAAGGGGAGCAUCUCCUCAUAUGGGAAGAUAUGAUAUGGAAGAACACAUUGUAAUCUUCUAGAAUGAGAGUUAGAAGUCACCCUAGAAAUAAUUUUUUUUAUUUUUUAUAGUUGGGGAAACUGAGGCAGAGAUGACAGAGCUUGGAUUCAAACCCAGGUCCUCCGUCUAUAAAGCCAGUAUUCUUUUAACACUGCUUCAAGGGGACAUCUCCUGAAAACCAAGCCAUAGGUUGUUGGUGGUUUGGGUGCUAAGCAAUCGAUGGCAGAUCAAACUCCUUCUCUGAACCUCAGUUUCCUUAUUUGUCACCUUGUUACUACCAACCUUACCCGGUUGCCUGAAAGCUCUAGUGUGACAACGAAUGCAACCUCAAAGCACCGGGAUUCUCUGCCAGCUCUUAUUCUGACAUCUACAGGGACACGGAUGAGUGCUUGCCUGGGAGGUCUGAAGGGGAGAUUGGGAUCCAGGUCCCAUUAUGGUUUCAAACUGGGCUGGCAGCUGAGGACCCAACCACAGAAAAGAAAUUCUAUGAUGUUGUUGUUAUGAAUCGGAAUUCUGUUUGAAUUGGAAGUCACCCGGGGACAUUGACUAACGGGGCAGGCCCUGGCGCCAAGCGGAAAAAUGUUGUUUGGGGAUGGGACUGGCAUGUUAGCCUGACUGCAGUAUUUUUUGGGUGGGACGGGCCUUUUGAUGAAAAUAACCCAUGGUGUCCCUCUUUGACUGGGACUGAGAAAAAGAGUCUUCCCAAAGAGAGCUCGGGACAAUAUUCCCAUUGUCCGUUUUUCAGUCAGAUUCCAUGUCAGAGAAGCCAUGACUAGGGACUCUGGCAUCUGGGAUUCGUUGGGGGGGGGGGGGGGGGGGUAACAGGAAAAAGUCGUGGUCUGGGGGAUAACUUUCCUCUUAUUCUGGAGCUGUGCUGACCCCUUCCUCAGACCAAAUGUGGUAAGGAGAAGGAUGGCUUCUGGACCCUGUUCCUUAAGGCUCAAGGGCCUUGAGGUGCUUCCUUUUCAUAGACAUGACAAUAACUUCCCAGGCCACGGCUUUUUCCUGGCGGCCUCUCUGCAUGGGCUACUUACUGCCUGGUCUCCAGGAGCAAUAUCCCUUUAGCUUCCUCCCCUUUGGACAUCUUCAUAGCAUCAUCACUAACUAUGUUGCCAUGGAUACUAGUGACCAUGCCCUAGAGGAACGUCUGCUCUGGGCUCUCUUGAUUGGAACUGCCUCUCCUAGAAAACUAUUUCAAGACCUGGCAGGAGGACACUCCUCAUCCACCUCAUCACCUUCGGGAGGGAAGCAGGCUCGGGGUUGUCACUGCUGUUCCUGGAGAGUUUAAGUGAUUCAGCAGAGGAUGAUUCAACAUCUAUGAGCAGACGAGCACUAAUGAAGCACUUCCUGGGUACUAGGUACCGCUCUAGGCUCUGGAGAUAUAAAGACAAAUCUUCCAUCGAGGACCUCAGUGAUUAAGGCAAAGGUCCUCUGAUGUCAGCUUAGGAGCUUUCUCUUGGAAAGACCCAUUGUUCUGGUAGAGUUUUUAACGAGGGUCCAAAGAUUUCAGGGGGUUGGUGAACUUUUUCUUUUCCAUGUGGAAAAUCACAUUUGGGUGUAAUUGAUUUCCUUGGAAAGUUUGUGUUUAUUUUCUGCAUUUAAAAACAUUAUUCUGAGAAGGGUUCUCUGACCAAGAACAAUUAAGAACUUCUGGUACAGAGUCAGAGUCAAGUCCCACUCCCUACUCUCAGCAGCUUUAAACUCACUGAGGGGCAGCUGUAGACUAGAAAUGAUAAUCCCUGACCUGACUCUGGGAAGAGACCACUUAGAAGACCAU